rnacentral:rRNA from 1 species
GACGAACGCUGGCGGCAUGCCUAAUACAUGCAAGUCGAACGAACUCUGGUGAUGAUUGAAGCUUGCUUCAUGAAUCACAUUUGAGUGAGUGGCGGACGGGUGAGUAACACGUGGGUAACCUGCCCAAAAGUGGGGGAUAACAUCUGGAAACAGGUGCUAAUACCGCAUAACAACUACUUUCACAUGAUCGUAGUUUAAAAGAUGGCUCUGCUAUCGCUUUUGGAUGGACCCGCGGCGUAUUAGCUAGUUGGUGAGGUAAAGGCUCACCAAGGCAAUGAUACGUAGCCGACCUGAGAGGGUAAUCGGCCACAUUGGGACUGAGACACGGCCCAAACUCCUACGGGAGGCAGCAGUAGGGAAUCUUCCACAAUGGGCGAAAGCCUGAUGGAGCAAUGCCGCGUGAGUGAAGAAGGUUUUCGGAUCGUAAAACUCUGUUGUUGAAGAAGAACAUGCGUGAGAGUAACUGUUCACGUACUGACGGUAUUCAACCAGAAAGCCACGGCUAACUACGUGCCAGCAGCCGCGGUAAUACGUAGGUGGCAAGCGUUGUCCGGAUUUAUUGGGCGUAAAGAGAAUGUAGGCGGUUUAUUAAGUUUGAAGUGAAAGCCCUCGGCUCAACCGAGGAAGUGCUUCGAAAACUGGUAAACUUGAGUGCAGAAGAGGAAAGUGGAACUCCUUGUGUAGCGGUGGAAUGCGUAGAUAUAUGGAAGAACACAAGUGGCGAAGGCGGCUUUCUGGUCUGUAACUGACGCUGAGAUUCGAAAGCAUGGGUAGCAAACAGGAUUAGAUACCCUGGUAGUCCAUGCCGUAAACAUGAGUGCUAAGUGUUGGAGGGUUUCCGCCCUUCAGUGCUGCAGCUAACGCAUUAAGCACUCCGCCUGGGGAGUACGAUCGCAAGAUUGAAACUCAAAGGAAUUGACGGGGGCCCGCACAAGCGGUGGAGCAUGUGGUUUAAUUCGAAGCAACGCGAAGAACCUUACCAGGUCUUGACAUACCAUGAAAAGCUAAGAGAUUAGUCUUUCCCUUCGGGGACAUGGAUACAGGUGGUGCAUGGUUGUCGUCAGCUCGUGUCGUGAGAUGUUGGGUUAAGUCCCGCAACGAGCGCAACCCUUAUUAUCAGUUGCCAGCAUUCAGUUGGGCACUCUGGUGAGACUGCCGGUGACAAACCGGAGGAAGGUGGGGACGACGUCAAAUCAUCAUGCCCCUUAUGACCUGGGCUACACACGUGCUACAAUGGUCGGUACAACGUGCUGCGAACUCGCGAGGGUAAGCAAAUCACUUAAAACCGAUCUCAGUUCGGAUUGUAGGCUGCAACUCGCCUACAUGAAGCUGGAAUCGCUAGUAAUCGCGGAUCAGCAUGCCGCGGUGAAUACGUUCCCGGGCCUUGUACACACCGCCCGUCACACCAUGAGAGUUUGUAACACCCAAAGCCGGUGGGGUAACCCUUCGGGGAGCUAGCCGUCUAAGGUGGGACAAAUGAUUAGGGUG